rnacentral:rRNA from 1 species
UGGGGAAUUUUGGACAAUGGGCGAAAGCCUGAUCCAGCAAUGCCGCGUGUGUGAAGAAGGCCUUCGGGUUGUAAAGCACUUUUGUCCGGAAAGAAAUCCUUGGCUCUAAUACAGUCGGGGGAUGACGGUACCGGAAGAAUAAGCACCAGCUAACUACGUGCCAGCAGCCGCGGUAAUACGUAGGGUGCAAGCGUUAAUCGGAAUUACUGGGCGUAAAGCGUGCGCAGGCGGUUUGCUAAGACCGAUGUGAAAUCCCCGGGCUCAACCUGGGAACUGCAUUGGUGACUGGCAGGCUAGAGUAUGGCAGAGGGGGGUAGAAUUCCACGUGUAGCAGUGAAAUGCGUAGAGAUGUGGAGGAAUACCGAUGGCGAAGGCAGCCCCCUGGGCCAAUACUGACGCUCAUGCACGAAAGCGUGGGGAGCAAACAGGAUUAGAUACCCUGGUAGUCCACGCCCUAAACGAUGUCAACUAGUUGUUGGGGAUUCAUUUCCUUAGUAACGUAGCUAACGCGUGAAGUUGACCGCCUGGGGAGUACGGUCGCAAGAUUAAAAGCUCAAAAUGAAUUGACGGGGUCAUAGCUGUUUUCCU